AUUGAACGCUGGCGGCAUGCUUUACACAUGCAAGUCGAACGGUAACAGGUUAAGCUGACGAGUGGCGAACGGGUGAGUAAUGCAUCGGAACGUGCCCGAUCGUGGGGGAUAACGCAGCGAAAGCUGCGCUAAUACCGCAUACGAUCUGAGGAUGAAAGCGGGGGACCGUAAGGCCUCGCGCGAUCGGAGCGGCCGAUGUCAGAUUAGGUAGUUGGUGGGGUAAAGGCACACCAAGCCGACGAUCUGUAGCUGGUCUGAGAGGACGACCAGCCCCACUGGGACUGAGACACGGCCCAGACUCCUACGGGAGGCAGCAGUGGGGAAUUUUGGACAAUGGGCGAAAGCCUGAUCCAGCAAUGCCGCGUGCAGGAAGAAGGCCUUCGGGUUGUAAACUGCUUUUGUACGGAGCGAAAAGGUCCUUUCUAAUACAGGGGGCUCAUGACGGUACCGGAAUAAGAAGCACCGGCUAACUACGUGCCAGCCGCCGCGGUAA
rnacentral:rRNA from 1 species